rnacentral:rRNA from 1 species
GACGAACGCUGGCGGCGUGCUUAACACAUGCAAGUCGAACGGAAAGGCCUUUUCGGAGGUACUCGAGUGGCGAACGGGUGAGUAACACGUGGGUGAUCUGCCCUGCACUCUGGGAUAAGCCUGGGAAACUGGGUCUAAUACCGGAUAGGACCGCACUUUAGUGUGUGUGGUGGAAAGUUUUUUCGGUGUAGGAUGAGCCCGCGGCCUAUCAGCUUGUUGGUGGGGUAAUGGCCUACCAAGGCGGCGACGGGUAGCCGGACUGAGAGGUUGGUCGGCCACAUUAGGACUGAGAUACGGCCCAGACUCCUACGGGAGGCAGCAGUGGGGAAUAUUGCACAAUGGGCGCAAGCCUGAUGCAGCGGCGCCGCGUGGGGGAUGACGGCCUUCGGGUUGUAAACUCCUUUCGCCAGGGACGAAGCGUUUUGUGACGGUACCUGGAGAAGAAGCACCGGCUAACUACGUG